UACAGAGACUGCAAGCGUUGUUCGGAAUCACUGGGCGUAAAGGGCGCGUAGGCGGCCGAUCAAGUCGGGGGUGAAAGCCUGUGGCUCAACCACAGAAUUGCCUUCGAUACUGUUUGGCUUGAGACCGGAAGAGGUUAGUGGAACUGCGAGUGUAGAGGUGAAAUUCGUAGAUAUUCGCAAGAACACCAGUGGCGAAGGCGGCUGACUGGUCCGGUUCUGACGCUGAGGCGCGAAAGCGUGGGGAGCAAACAGG
rnacentral:rRNA from 1 species